rnacentral:rRNA from 1 species
UGGGGAAUAUUGGACAAUGGGGGCAACCCUGAUCCAGCAAUUCUGUGUGUACGAUGAAGGUCUUCGGAUUGUAAAGUGCUUUCAGCAGGGAAGAAAAAAAUGACGGUACCUGCAGAAGAAGCGACGGCUAAAUACGUGCCAGCAGCCGCGGUAAUACGUAUGUCGCGAGCGUUAUCCGGAAUUAUUGGGCAUAAAGGGCAUCUAGGCGGCCGGAUAAGUCUGGGGUGAAAACUUGCGGCUCAACCGCAAGCCUGCCCUGGAAACUAUGCGGCUAGAGUACUGGAGAGGUGGACGGAACUGCACGAGUAGAGGUGAAAUUCGUAGAUAUGUGCAGGAAUGCCGAUGAUGAAGAUAGUUCACUGGACGGUAACUGACGCUGAAGUGCGAAAGCUAGGGGAGCAAACAGGAUUAGAUACCCUGGUAGUCCUAGCUGUAAACGAUGAUUACUGGGUGUGGGCAUGAAGAGUGUCCGUGCCGAAGCUAAUGCGAUAAGUAAUCCGCCUGGGGAGUACGGCCGCAAGGCUG